UUGUAGUAUAUGACACUUGUUGCAGAUUACAGAUCCUCCUUCCAUGUCAUAUUAUAAUCUGAUUGCUCGCGCAGUGCAGUCAGAAAAUUCUUGGUUUGGGCAUGCAUUAAAUAAUUGUUAGUGUCAACCAUAUUGAAUUGGCGUUACUGUGUUCAUGAUACACUUCCACAAUACAUAAUUAUUUUAAUGUGAUGCUACACAUUCUGGGAGAAAAAUAAACGGCAAGGUCUUCCCCAAAAGUUAUUUCAUUCUAACGGUUUAAUCAAUUCGUUUAGGCGACACUAGGUGACCUUAAUACUUCUGGUUGGAGCGUCCUCGAAAGCAAAGCUGGCGAAGAGAGGCGGCGGUGCUUUGUGUGUUGAAUCCUUCAAACCAUCCCAUGCAUCGGCUGGAAAUUGAGUUAGAGGAGGAUGUGAAUAUCACCUUCUCUGUUAAAGGCCAAAGCUCGAUUUAUUUGUCAGGAUAUUACAUCCUUACGAAUCCCAAGACUUGCACUACUAAAAGAAAUUCAUUCAGAAAACGAAAGUAUGAUCAAGAGGUCUCGGACAGGUAUAUCAUCUUUUUCAACCUAAUACGGGGGGCAGUGUUGAUGGUGUUGCCAUGCAAAGUAAUACUCCCAAAAUAAUACCAGCUACCAUCAUGUAAAUAAUCAUAAUAGCCGCUAAGAAUCCUAAGGCAACAUGAGCAUGAUACCGAUAAAACAAUAUGAGCAUAUCAUGAACAUAGGAAUCUGUCGAUACUAACAUGCAACAUAAUAACACUACAUGCACCAAUUAUUCUGCUCGGGUUAUCUCGCAACCAUCACAUGCAGCACUUACCAACCUCGGACAUCACACGAUCAUCUCAGGAUCAACUCAAGCUUGGUAUAAAUAAUACCGUAGUAAUCAUUAAAUGACCACAAGGAGCUUGAUCUUUACCCAUGAUUCUCGCAUAACAUCACGAAUAUCCAACAACUCGGUAUCCUCGAUACCACGGUGAUCAUUCCGACGAUCACAACCAUGACCAACAAUUGGUCUUAAACAGUGAUCAUUCCGACGACCACAACCAUGACAACACUUGGUCUCAAACGGUGAUCAUUCCGGCGAUCACAACCAACUUAACUCCUCAUCGAACUGGGGUUGUCAUUAAUCAAGUUAUUAUUAAUACUGUUGACUCACGGUGGGACCGACACGAACUGGGCCCUUAUCCGCGGGUGCGGCUAUCGAUAGAUUUAAUAUACACUCUGCAGAGGUAGCACACUGUACCCACACCACGGAACCCAUGGCCUCGUACUCCUAUUCGGGUGGACCAACGGCGUUCCGACAAAACCGAUCUACUGUCGUGACACUCUCCCGGCCACUUCGACCCACUCCCAACUGGGCUAGUCCUGGGUGGCCCCGUGUCUACCAAAGACACCCCGACCACCGUCGUGGUCAAACGUCCCUCACUGGGACCGGAUCCAUAAAAAUAAAAACAACGGGCACACAAGGUUAUGUCCGCCUACCUGAUCAGGGUAAGCACGCCCAUAACCUUCCCUCGUGGGAGGCACCGGCGAGACGCACGACAAUAGACCCAGUUAGGACCUUACCCAUAUGGUAAGCGUGGUUGCACUGGUCAGUUUCGAUUUGGCGGCACCAUGGCUCAGCCAACAGUUGUUCAAGUUCAAUUAAAUCCGGUUAAACUUGAAUAUAAAAUGUUGAGCCAUGAUAAAAUAACAUGAUGCAAUUACAAUGCAUGAGCAUAAUAUCAACAUAAGCACGGGAUGCAACAUAACUGUCCAUCAUAUCAAUUAUGAAAUAAUCUCCAACUGAACAUGGCAUAAUGGCGACCAUAAAUAUUACAAGUGCAACACUACUCAUAGUAUAACAUAACAUGACCACUAGCAUCAACCAUAAAUAACAUGCAAGAACUUAUCAAUAACGUCACCGAGUAACACUUAACCAACUAACAGCAAAGGAACAACGCAUAUUAACAGUACUCGAUAACCAACGUUAAUCAUGCACCGAAGAGCAAGACCAACCCAACAUGUAGUACUAUCAAGCAUGGCAAUAUGAAAGUAAUACUAGCAACUAGCAGAGCAUGAUAACCAGGUGCAUAACAACAUAGCAAACAAGUAAGCACAAUCCCAAAAGCAACGAUAACCAUAUUUUAAACAAGCAAUCAUUUAAUAAAUAUUCAAGUUGAAAACCAUGGCUACUGCAUGACUAUCAUGCAAAUGGGUAUUGUGGCUUGCCUGGGGGUGUAGAAGGCACCGGGGAGAAGUGCGGUGAAGUCGCAGAAAGAUUUGCUAGAAACAGUUCUCUCUCAAAGGGGCUGUUUACGUGCAAGGGCAAAAAGGUCAUUUUCACAGUGUAAAACCAUAGUGAAAAUGAAACCAACAGAACGGGCUCGACGAGACAAAGAAGUGGGAUUUGGAUUCACCUCAUUUGGAGUUACGGUUGAAAAGUUAUGAGGAGUUGAAAAUCGGGGACCUAUCGGUGAAACUUUUUUAGCAAACAGGCCCCUGGUGGAUAAACAGAAAGCGCCUUCUCUGAAAAUACAUUUCCCAGAGAGGAAAACGCAUUCUUUCCCGAAGAAUAAAUGGAAUACAUCUUCGAUAAGGGAAAGCAUACUCACAGAAGUACGUUUCCACUUAUCCACGCUGGCAAGCGCGGGGCCGGGCCUUGAGCAGCUGACAUAGGGGGCUCACGCGCAGGGGGAGGGGGCCAGCUAGGCGUCGUCUUCCUCCUUGCUGCUCCCCCGAUGGGAAUCAUAGGAGCAGAGGCAGGGGAGAGGCCGGCGAUGGCCCGGGCAGCUCUGGCAGUCCCUGGCCAAGCCGUGGCCACCGACGGGCGCAGGAGGAAUGGACACACCCGUCCCCAAGGUCAACCGGCACUGAGGAGGGGCGGGACAAGCGCAAGGAGAGGGGAACAGAGGCGGCUCCGGCGGCGGUUGAACUUGAAGACGGCGCCUUCUGCUAUUGCGGCGAG
rnacentral:lncRNA from 1 species